rnacentral:rRNA from 1 species
CCUACGGGAGGCAGCAGUGGGGAAUAUUGCACAAUGGGCGCAAGCCUGAUGCAGCCAUGCCGCGUGUGUGAAGAAGGCCUUCGGGUUGUAAAGCACUUUCAGCGGGGAGGAAGGCGUUAAGGUUAAUAACCUUGGCGAUUGACGUUACCCGCAGAAGAAGCACCGGCUAACUCCGUGCCAGCAGCCGCGGUAAUACGGAGGGUGCAAGCGUUAAUCGGAAUUACUGGGCGUAAAGCGCACGCAGGCGGUCUGUCAAGUCGGAUGUGAAAUCCCCGGGCUCAACCUGGGAACUGCAUUCGAAACUGGCAGGCUAGAGUCUUGUAGAGGGGGGUAGAAUUCCAGGUGUAGCGGUGAAAUGCGUAGAGAUCUGGAGGAAUACCGGUGGCGAAGGCGGCCCCCUGGACAAAGACUGACGCCCAGGUGCGAAAGCGUGGGGAGCAAACAGGAUUAGAUACCCCAGUAGUC